GUCAUUCGAUAAUAUCUCUUUUUUUUAUGUCUUGAUGGAAAGUUUGGACACAAGUCGUCAUCGCGUAUUGUCCAAGAUAUUCACAUAUUCUAAAGCUUAUUUUUCUGUAAUCAGAUAGUUGGUGAAAAGUCAGGAGUCUCAGGGCCAAUGUCGGAGAAAAAACUCCGUUCGUCGUUACAAUUUCCGGUAGUUAAACAAAGCGGCACAGUGUUUCAUAUUGCGCUGUGUAGAGCGAUCGUCGAUUUCUUCUGCUCUUCCUGAAGGGAUAGUUGAAGUGUAGCUGUUAAACUUUCUCUCUGGCGUGAUGUCUUGCUGACAAAUCGAUGCAAACUUGCAUAUUUUUGCAAAACCCAUGAAAUCGACUCAAGGUCAAUCAAGGCUGGAUAGUCAUCAAAUAUCACCUCUCUUUAAUAAUUCACCUUCCCGCAAGCCUGUUUUGUUCACCUGACAUAGAAAAUGGACUUUAUAAACACUGAAAUUGUCAUAUUUUUGUUGAAAGAAAAUUCAACAACCUAAGAAGAUUUCAUUUGUUUUUAUUUGUCAUUAUGAGAAAGUUGCACUUCAAUGAUCACUUA